AUACGGAGGAUUCGAGCGUUAUCCGGAUUUAUUGGGUUUAAAGGGUGCGCAGGCGGCCAUUUAAGUCCGCGGUUAAAUCGUGGGGCUCAACCCCAUUCUGCCGUUCAUAUUGGGUGGCUUGAUUGCGGUCGAGGUUGGCGGAAUUCGUUGUGUCGCGGUGGAAUGCAUAGAUAUGACGAAGAACACCGAUUGCGUAGGCAGCUGACCAGAUCGCAAAUGACGCUCAUGCACGAAAGUGCGGGGAUCAAACAGGAUUAGAUGCCCUGGUAGUCCACGCAGUAAACGAUGAUGGCUAACCGCUGGGCUUAUCAGUUCAGUGGCCAAGCGAAAGCGAUAAGCCAUCCACCUGGGGAGUACGACCGCAAGGUUGAAACUCAAAUGAAUUGACGGGG
rnacentral:rRNA from 1 species